rnacentral:rRNA from 1 species
UACGUAGGGGGCAAGCGUUGUCCGGAAUCAUUGGGCGUAAAGAGCGUGUAGGCGGUUUGGUAAGUCGGCUGUGAAAGUCCAGGGCUCAACCCUGGGAUGCCGGUCGAUACUGCCGGACUAGAGUUCGGAAGAGGCGAGUGGAAUUCCCGGUGUAGCGGUGAAAUGCGCAGAUAUCGGGAGGAACACCUAUGGCGAAGGCAGCUCGCUGGGACGUUACUGACGCUGAGACGCGAAAGCGUGGGGAGGAAACAGG